rnacentral:rRNA from 1 species
AACGAACGCUGGCGGCAGGCCUAACACAUGCAAGUCGAGCGAGGACUUCGGUCCUAGCGGCGGACGGGUGAGUAACGCGUGGGAACGUGCCCUUUGCUUCGGAAUAGCCCUGGGAAACUGGGAGUAAUACCGGAUGAGCCCUUUGGGGGAAAGAUUUAUCGGGGAAGGAUCGGCCCGCGUUGGAUUAGGUAGUUGGUGGGGUAAUGGCCUACCAAGCCGACGAUCCAUAGCUGGUUUGAGAGGAUGAUCAGCCACACUGGGACUGAGACACGGCCCAGACUCCUACGGGAGGCAGCAGUGGGGAAUCUUAGACAAUGGGGGAAACCCUGAUCUAGCCAUGCCGCGUGAGCGAUGAAGGCCUUAGGGUUGUAAAGCUCUUUCAGCUGGGAAGAUAAUGACGGUACCAGCAGAAGAAGCCCCGGCUAACUCCGUG